CAGCUCUGCUCUUGUAUAUAAGAGAGGUCUAACAGCCACUUCAGCACUGCAGAAACUUCCAGGAUCUUCUCUAACCAUUUGUUCAAACUGUGUCAUCAUUAAAUCAACAAUGCUAAAGGUAGCACUUGUGCUUGGAUGCCUCUUGAGCCUCACUCAGGCUAGAGGCCACGGGGUGUCCCAUCCAAACAGGGGCGGUUCACAAUCUGGAGAGGCUCCUAGACCAACUACAUCAACUAGACCAGCAUUGGAUAGCACAUUCCUUCAGCUCCUCCUCAACCUGCUGCAACAGUAUGCUACAGCUACGACCGCUGCAACAACUACGACUGCAACCACGGCCACGACUGCAACUACAGCCACUACUGCAACUACAGCCACGACUGCAACCACAGCCACCACUGCAUAAAAUGGAAAUCUGUGAUUUCUUUCUAAAAUGAUUAUCAUUCUGUUCCUUUAAGAGAGAUUGAGCACUCUUUGUUCAUCUUCAUUUGAUUGGAAAAAUGUCACAGUUUUUUGGUCAUUUGUCAAAUAAAUAAUUUCAAUGCAAAGCA